rnacentral:lncRNA from 13 species
GCUAUGUAGCAUUCCCAGGUUAAAGGCUUGAAAACAAGACUUAAUUUUGAAGUGUCUGGAAGUGUUCUGCCUAGCAGCUGCCUCAUCAGCAUGGAUCCACAAGUAAGGCUGACAAAGACAUGGAGCUGAGUCUCCAGCCAACCCACAAUGGCAUUGCAGCAUGAGUGACACAAAAACCUUUGU